rfam:Myotis davidii contig122293, whole genome shotgun sequence.
GGCAGUUCUAGGGUGACACACCCUGGAAUCAGGCUCCCUCCUCUCUGGUUCUGGGUGUGUCAUCCAAGAACUGCA